GCCUGGGUGGCUCAGUCAGUUGAGCGUCUGACUUCGGCUCAGGUCGUGAUCUCGCGGUCCGUGGGUUCGAGCCCCACGUCGGGCU
rnacentral:tRNA from 1 species